rnacentral:rRNA from 1 species
CCUACGGGGGGUAGCAGUGGGGAAUAUUGCACAAUGGGCGAAACCCUGAUGCAGCGACGCCGCGUGAGUGAUGAAGUCUUUCGGUAUGUAAAGCACUAUCAGCAGGGAAGAAAAUGCAGGUACCAGAUUAAGACGCCGCGGCGAACUACGUGCCAGCAACCGCGGGAAUACGUAGGGGGCAAGCGUUAUCCGGUUUUACGGGGUGGAAAGGGAGCGGAGACGGCAGCACAAGUCUGGAGUGAAAUGCCCGGGCUUAACCCCGGAAUUGCUUUGGAAACUGUUCAGCUAGAGUGCAGGAGAGGUAAGUGGAAUUCCUAGUGUAGCGGUGAAAUGCGUAGAUAUUAGGAGGAACACCAGUGGCGAAGGCGGCUUACUGGAAUGUAACUGACGUUGAGGCUCGAAAGCGUGGGGAGCAAACAGGAUUAGAUACCCUUGUAGUC